rnacentral:rRNA from 1 species
UACGUAGGGGGCGAGCGUUGUCCGGAAUUAUUGGGCGUAAAGGGCGUGUAGGCGGCCGAUCAAGUCAGGUGUGAAAUUCCAGGGCUCAACCCUGGACGUGCACUUGAAACUGGUUGGCUUGAGUGCAGAAGAGGAAAGUGGAAUUCCCAGUGUAGCGGUGAAAUGCGUAGGUAUUGGGAGGAACACCAGUGGCGAAGGCGACUUUCUGGUCUGUAACUGACGCUGAGGCGCGAAAGCUAGGGGAGCAAACAGG